rnacentral:rRNA from 1 species
UACGGGGGGAGCAAGCGUUGUUCGGAUUUACUGGGCGUAAAGGGUGCGCAGGCGGCUUCGCAAGUCGAGUGUGAAAUCCCCGAGCUUAACUUGGGAAUUGCGCUCGAAACUACGGAGCUGGAGUGUGGCAGAGGAAGGUGGAAUUCCACGUGUAGCGGUGAAAUGCGUAGAGAUGUGGAGGAACACCGAUGGCGAAGGCAGCCUUCUGGGCCAACACUGACGCUCAUGCACGAAAGCGUGGGGAGCAAACAGG